GAAGAAGGUAAGUUAAAGGAGCGUGGAAUAAACACUUAGAAAGUUUCCAUGACAUCAGAAAGCGCCUGUUAAAGCAAGAUAUUAAAUUGGCUUUUGCAACCAAAGAUGUGCAGGCCGUGAGGGUGAGCACCAGGGCUGGAGGCCAGGAGGGAAGCCCAAUGCAUUGCUGACCCCAGGAAUCUCCUUUAUUAUCUGCCCUUUGUGCGCGUCCUCCUCGGCUGACCUGUCAGAUCAUUGAGGCCCCGUCACAGCCACCUACAUUAUAUCCUGUGUAGGCAGGACAUUCAUGCUUUUAGGGGUUUUUGUAGCCCCCCAUUGUCAUUCACGCACUGCUGAGAGCUGGGGCCGAGGAUGUGAGAAAGCUGGCCCCGGCAUUGUGUCCCUCUCCGCUCUUUACCAGCUCCACGGGGGACUUCCUUUUUAAUGUCGGGGUAAUCCGAGGGCCCGGGACCUGGCCACAGGCGAGCAGGGGUGGGGAGUUUGGUGGGCAGGGGCUUAAAUCUGCCCUAAUGGUGGGUUAAUGUAUCGCCGCGGUCCUGCCCGGUGAUCUGCGAGCUCACAGGUUUCAGCCACAGGGAUGUGCUGUACGCACGCGGAGAGAACGGCAGAAUUUACGAGCUCGGCCAAUGCCCUGAUGCAGGGACGCAGUCUUUUCAUGGGGUGCUUUAGGGUGUUUUGUCCUUAAAUUCGACUAAUGAACUUACCUAAACAUUGCUGUCUUUUACUAUGCAUCAUCUGCAGUAUUUGGUAUAUAACACCCAGACUACUGUGUCUGUGAAUACAGUUAUGAGGGAAAAGCAACAGGGCUUAAUAUCCUCAUAUAUCCAGUAUACAGAUGAAUACUUGAACAAUGUUUAAAUAUCCUGUUCAUAGUACAAUGCUUCACUUGGGAAUUUAAUCUGCAGCCUAUUGUUGAAGGCCAGACAUUUAACUGCUCCACAAAGCCACUGUAGGUACAUAUAUGUUUGUUUGCUGGGAGUAGAGGUGGUAAUAAGAGUUUAGUUAAAUUGAGGUCAGCAUUGUUGUGUGGCUAGUUUUAUGCUUUCCUACAGAUUGUGCUUUUAAACAUGAAAUUGCAAAGCACGCUUGCUGCGAAGUAUAUUGAGCUAAAAGGUCAAAGGUUACAGCGUAUGCAUGCACAGUAUUGACAUCCUGAAGUGAAUUCUGUACAGGUCACGGCGUAAGCAGCACGGCGCGAUGUCUGUGUGUGGCGUGAAGGCGGAAUUUCCCUGAGACGGCCGCGAUGGUUGUCACAGUGGGACCUGCUGCUGAUGUUAGGGAUGUCAGGAGCAUGCUGGGAUAAUCUCAUUAAGCGUGACUCCUCCGGCAUGUUUCCCAGCAAGGGAGAGCAGAGCUUUAUGAGGAGCUGACGUACCACACGCAAACUGCUCCUGUAUCCUGAGACGUGGACACACCAAGGGCGGGUUAAUGGCCUGACAGGGUCUGGCUUUAGUACGGCACAAUCUCUAAACGUUUGCUCAGGUUCAAUCAACAUUCACCAUUUUAUUUACUGAUAAAUGUCAGUUUUCUCCGCAGACAGUACAGCAGGUUAUUUUGGGGGGUAUGUGAAGUCAUUUAUGAGCGUGGUAGCAGUUGUUAUUUUUCCUGCUCAAAGGACAUCAUUUUUGCUUUCAUCUCAGCAUUUUUCGAUGCUAAAACAAAAUGUGUCUGGUUUUAUUCUUCUCAUUAGUAGGGCUGAUAAAACAAACACCGAAAUGCAGACAUUUAAGCAAUUAAUUCUCAGUCAUUUUAUUUAUUUUUACCUUUUUUGAUUGUACAAAGUAUUUCCAAAUUUUACAUGAAUUCUCCCAGUUUCUCCUGGAACUUCUAACACAUGCAAAAACUCAAGUUACAGUGAAGCAAGAAUCAUCUGCUUUUUGCCGGCAAAAGUUUAUGAUCUUAAAACUUUUUGAGCUGGGCAGACAGGAGCUUCAGCAGCAAUUAUAUCUUUUUUUAGGUCACUUGGACUAAACAGUAAUUUUCUUUGAAUGUGCUGCUUGCGAGAUGAAAGCAGGAGUUGGUCUCUUCACGUGUAGGAGGAUCUGUUUACAGGAGUUGACAGCUACAUGUGGUGGUACAAAGCUCAGUCAUUAGUUAAAAAAAGAAAAAUAAGAAAAAGCAAAUUGCACUUAAAGCUCUACCCACAUUGUUAUGACAGUCCCUGUCUCCUAUUAAAUGAUGUAAUUCAUUGUGCAUGUUUUUUCACUUUAGUGUAAAACAAACAGAUUCGAUCAUGUCGCAUGACUGGCACAAAACAUAUACAUUAAUUACUCGGUGUGUGGUUUGCACUCGGAACUGGUUUUAGUAAUCAAUUACAGCCUCACAUUUUUAGAAGAAAGUAGCCAUCUUUGCUGGAUGUAGAGAAAUGCUCCACCGUUGAGGUCCUUGUCAAUCAAUCAAAAUAAGUCUUUAUCUUUAGACACAUCAUCGCAGCAGUUAAAGCAAACAAAAACCUAUUAGUGAUUCUGAGCAGAACGAAAAUACAGAAGGAGGAGGUUAAAGCAAAAUAGCAAUGACUAACAAAGAGCAAUCCAUUGCAAAGCUGCAAUCAGCAGCUAAAGAUCAGCUGUCAGGAUGUGUUAUAUGCCACCAUUUCUAUAUGAAUAACAUCUUAGAAAAUAAACAAUUGUGGAUAAUUAUUUACAGACGCAGGUGCGCACACACAUGCAUACACACAUAUGCACUCACGCGCACACACACACACAUACACACAAACACACACACUCACACACACACACACACACACACACAUAUGCACUCACGCACAUGCACACACAGACACACACAUACACACACACACUCACACACACAUACACACAUGCAUAUAUUGUUCCUAAGUUACAUUACAUUAUAUUCAGUUCCAAUGUCAUAAUUAUCUUUACAAAACAGAACAAUGAAAAUUAUUGAGCCGUAAUAAUUUAUCCUUUGACCAUCUUAUUCGUAUGUAACUAACAGCAGCCAUAAUAAUCACUGCCUUUAGAAAAUACAGUCAAAAGAAUCCCACUCUUUGCUGCAAUAAAAAAUAUGUGUUAUGGAUCCUGGAUGUUACAUUUUUAAUAUCAGUGUGUGCCUAAGCAAUGCUGAUAUAAAAUAAUAUGUUUAAAUAUACAAUAAGGAAAUCAACAUUCUCUUAAAUUGGUUUCUGAAAGUGCAUUAUGAUGAGAAUCUGCAGCUUUGCACAACCUGUCCUCUCAGGUCACACUGUAGUACUUGAAACAGGUUCAUUUGCUUUAGGUAUGCUAUGUGGAGUGGUUUGGUAAUUUUCCAGAGCUUCAAAUUCAGAUUCCACCUUGUCCAUCAGCCACAGUAAAACAUACCUAAUUAUGGAUCCAAUCUCCCUUCCUCGUUAACUGUUCUCCGGGGAAUUCCAAACAACCUCUCACCUCAGGCAGCGCUAUCAAAACAUUGUAGAAAUGUCAGUUCAAUGGGACCGCGAAAUGCAAACAGCACUCAGCACACAGAGAAUCCUGACUAAAACCACUGCCAAAUCUACAGAGCAUCCACCAGAUGAAGACUAGUGCCAGAGCUACCAAUGUACAUCGUGUCCAUUUAGCAGACAGGCUAUUUUUAUUAGAUUCAAACAAUGAUUUGCAAAUCGUCAAGCAGUCACCAUUAUUUUUAGGCGGUCACAGGCCUGCAACACAUGCACAUCAAAAUACGGGUGAUCCUUAUGUGUUGACACAGCCAGCCAAAUUAAGAUAAAAUGGAAUUAAACUAGAAUAUUAAAGUAUUUAUUGUGAAGAUACAUUUCUGAUGUAAUUAUGUCAUAACAUCAACCCUCAUAUGAAAUGCUGCCUUAAAUUGCCUUGGUGGUUGCUAAUUUAUUGUUUUGUUGCCCCUGUCUCUAAUACAUUAUCUUUUUGUUCUUUUACUUUCUUCUCGGUUUAUGUAUGUAAAUAUUAAUUCAAACUGUCCUGAACUUCAUGACUUCACAGUGAUUCAUUAAAUUAAUCAUAAUGCUAUACUAUAGAAAGAAGGAAGGGAGUAAAAAUAAAGAAAAUACAUUCUCAUGCCAGUCUGUAAAUUUAAAUUACUACAGACAUCUUAGAAGCCAGACUCAGUGAGGCUGAGAUCUUUUUUAUUAAGCUAAAUACAAUGUAAAAUCAGUUUGAAAAUAUGUCCUGAUGGUUCAGACAAAUGCCAAAACAGAAUCAGAACAUUGGACUGAUAAAAUUAUGGUUCUAGUGAAGCUCACCAGAAGAUAUUUUGUUGUAACCCAGACUGAUUUCAUUAAUAGAUGCAAUGAGGUGUCAAAUCCCAUUGACAGCUGGAAUGAAGCUUCAUUUAGCCUGGCCUGGUCUGCCUUUCUUUGUCCACUACUAUGCAGGAGCUGUAUACCUCCAGAAGUAAAAAUCCUACUAAGAACACUUGAGAAUUCUGAUCCAGGGGAAGCAGGGCACUGGGCUGAAAGCAGAUGAGAGAUGAGAGGAAUCAGAGAGUAGAGCACCAAAAACAAAUGCUCAAUGCACCCAUUUAACAAAAGACCUGAAGGGCCUGGCACUGACAUGCCAGCCAAACAACUAUGCCACACGCCCUCAGAGAAACAAUAUUUUAUAUUCCUGAUUUAAUCAGUCUUUUCGCUCCCCCAGCCUGAAAUCACACGCACACGCAUGCACGCACACACACACGCUUAUGUUAGAAAAAGAUACAUGUUUGUUUGGCCUGUCACUCCGUCCGGUGGUCUGUGGCCUUCCAAGGAUUCCAUAUCUCAGGGGGAUUUCGAGGAAAGUCAUUUCAGUUGGAAAUCUUCCUCGGCAGAGCGCGGCACUUCAUCAAGGGUGAAGACUCCCUGGCUAUCAGCGAUGUAUCUGUCCGUCUGAUAAAGCCCUCACCCUAGUCCCUGCACUGGAACUUCCCAUCAUAAAUAAAGCCCUGUAGAAAGGGGGCCUUUGUCACUGUUUAUCUGCCUGGUCUUUCUUCCUCGCCCUUGAUUUCCUCUUCAGAAAAUUGAUGCACCCUUAAAUUGAAGCGGGGGGACUUGACAGGUAAUGGUUAGCGUGAUAACUGCUCAGAUUUCAUCAGCCAGCGUUUUUUUUUUCUUUUUUUUAUCUGUGGGUGCAAUUGUAGGAACUUUCAGCUAGAUUACCUGUCAGCUAGUGCAUCAGAUAAAAAAGACGUGCUGCGUAGAUGCUGGCACUGUCAGCACUGAUAGGGAGAGAAGAGGCCCGGGGUGGGAGUGGAGCAGUGCACAGAAAAUCAGGAACGGGAUUUUAUCUCUGGAUAUCAGGCUUUUAUUAUCUGGAUAAAGGUGUCUGCCAAAUAAAUACAUAAAUGAAUAAUAUCACCAAAUACUGCUAUGAAAUAGCUCUCCUUUGAGUGGUGAAUGUUAUAUUUAUUUCUAUGAUUUUACCUCUUUUCGUUUCAAUGGCAGGAGCCAUGCUAGAUCUUAAAUUUGGUGAGAAAGUACCGUAUUUGAAAUGUAUUUCCAGGUCCGUCUUCUGCAGAACAAUUAUUUAUCACUGUGGCUUUUCAUGAUGGCAAAACUGUUUUUAGGUUCUUUUAAUAUUUGGAUGAAUUUUUAGUAUGAUUAUUUGAACAUACAAUUCAGUUAUGUGAUAUGUAUGCUUCAACUAAGAUUUUUGAUGGAUUUUGAUAGAAGUAAAUGUGAAUAAAUUAUUCUGCUCGUUGAUGCAUUUGCUGUUUUUUCCACGACGUGCAGGAACUGCCACCAUGGGCUAUGCAUGGCAAAUUGUGGUCACUCACUCACUCACUCACUCACUCACGGACGACCUGUGGGACGCAUGCGCAGG